rnacentral:rRNA from 1 species
GGACGAACGCUGGCGGCGUGCCUAAUACAUGCAAGUCGAGCGGAUCGAACGAGAGCUUGCUCUUGUUCGGUCAGCGGCGGACGGGUGAGUAACACGUGGGCAACCUGCCCGCAAGACCGGGAUAACUCCGGGAAACCGGAGCUAAUACCGGAUAACACCAAAGACCGCAUGGUCUUUGGUUGAAAGGCGGCUUCGGCUGUCACUUGCGGAUGGGCCCGCGGCGCAUUAGCUAGUUGGUGAGGUAACGGCUCACCAAGGCGACGAUGCGUAGCCGGCCUGAGAGGGUGACCGGCCACACUGGGACUGAGACACGGCCCAGACUCCUACGGGAGGCAGCAGUAGGGAAUCUUCCGCAAUGGACGAAAGUCUGACGGAGCGACGCCGCGUGAGCGAAGAAGGCCUUCGGGUCGUAAAGCUCUGUUGUGAGGGACGAAGGAGCGCCGUUUGAAUAAGGCGGUGCGGUGACGGUACCUCACGAGAAAGCCCCGGCUUACUACGUGCCAGCAGCCGCGGUAAUACGUAGGGGGCGAGCGUUGUCCGGAAUUAUUGGGCGUAAAGCGCGCGCAGGCGGUCCUUUAAGUCUGAUGUGAAAGCCCACGACUCAACCGUGGAGGGUCAUU